CUGGAUACGAGACGGAUCCGCAUGGGUGCCGUUUGGAAAGUUUUUCGGUCUGGGAUGGACUCGCGGCCUAUCAGCUUGUUGGUGAGGUAAUGGCUCACCAAGGCGACGACGGGUAGCCGGCCUGAGAGGGCGACCGGCCACACUGGGACUGAGACACGGCCCAGACUCCUACGGGAGGCAGCAGUGGGGAAUAUUGCACAAUGGGCGAAAGCCUGAUGCAGCGACGCCGCGUGAGGGAUGACGGCCUUCGGGUUGUAAACCUCUUUCAGCAGGGAAGAAGCGAAAGUGACGGUACCUGCAGAAGAAGCACCGGCUAACUACGUGCCAGCAGCCGCGGUAAUACGUAGGGUGCGAGCGUUGUCCGGAAUUAUUGGGCGUAAAGAGCUUGUAGGCGGUUUGUCGCGUCUGCCGUGAAAAUUCGAGGCUCAACCUCGAACUUGCGGUGGGUACGGGCAGACUAGAGUGUGGUAGGGGAGACUGGAAUUCCUGGUGUAGCGGUGAAAUGCGCAGAUAUCAGGAGGAACACCGAUGGCGAAGGCAGGUCUCUGGGCCACUACUGACGCUGAGAAGCGAAAGCAUGGGGAGCGAACAGGAUUAGAUACCCUGGUAGUCCAUGCCGUAAACGUUGGGAACUAGGUGUGGGUCUCAUUCCACGAGAUCCGUGCCGCAGCUAACGCAUUAAGUUCCCCGCCUGGGGAGUACGGCCGCAAGGCUAAAACUCAAAGG
rnacentral:rRNA from 1 species